AUACCUUUCUCGGCCUUUUGGCUAAGAUCAAGUGUAGUAUCUGUUCUUAUCAGUUUAAUAUCUGAUAUGUGGAUCCUCGUGUCCACACGAUAUUAAAUUAAUAUUUUGUGGGGGAGAGCCCACACGGUAGCUUGCUAUCGGGCUCUCAGGCGUCGCCUCGUCGUUGCACUGCAGACUUGGCCUGGCGCGCCCCAA